rnacentral:rRNA from 1 species
UACAGAGACUGCAAGCGUUAUUCGGAUUCACUGGGCGUAAAGGGUGCGCAGGCGGCCGUGUGUGUGAGGCGUGAAAGCCCGGGGCUUAACCCCGGAAUUGCACCUCAAACUACAUGGCUAGAGCAUUGGAGAGGGUAGCAGAAUUCAUGGUGUAGCAGUGAAAUGCGUAGAUAUCAUGAGGAAUACCAGAGGCGAAGGCAGCUACCUGGACAAUUGCUGACGCUCAGGCACGAAAGCGUGGGGAGCAAAAGGG